rnacentral:rRNA from 1 species
GGAGGAAAAGAAACUAACUAGGAUUCCCUUAGUAGCUGCGAGCGAACAGGGAGAAGCCCAGCACCGAAUCCCGCGGCCGACACCGGGCGCCGGGAAAUGUGGUGUUAGGGAGGGUCCGUUUAUCCCGAGGUCGUGCGGCGCGUCCAAGUCCCUCUUGAACGGGGCCACAGCCCAUAGAGGGUGCCAGGCCCGUAGCGACCGCUGCCGAUCGCGGGAGGAUCUCUCCUCAGAGUCGGGUUGCUUGAGAGUGCAGCCCUAAGUGGGUGGUAAACUCCAUCUAAGGCUAAAUAUAACCACGAGACCGAUAGCGAACAAGUACCGUGAGGGAAAGUUGAAAAGCACUUUGAAGAGAGAGUUCAAGAGUACGUGAAACCGUUCAGGGGUAAACCUGAGAAACCCGAAAGGUCGAAAGGGGAAAUUCAUUCGCGUUUCGGCUGUUGGCGGAAGAUGAUCGUGUGACGGACGUCGUUCGCGUCGUCCGCACCUUUUGUUUUUCGAACCGGCGUCGAACGCGUGCACUUUUCCCCUAGUAGGACGUCGCGAUCCGUUGGGUGUCGGUCUACGGCUCAUGGUGGAGCCCGCGUGUACGGUUCGCCGUUUUGCGCGCGGACCCAUGAUGUCCCGGCCGACUCGCUCGACGGUAUACAGAUGGCGCGAGGCCGCUACUUUGUUAGCGUCUGACCCGCGGCAAGCGCUCCCGAUGUGUCGGUGAUCGGACCUGGUGCCGGUCCUGGCCUCGGGUGACUGUUGGCCGUAGUGUUCUCGGACAGACCUCGUUCAAAACGCCGAUCUGCGACGCUAUAGCUUUGGGUACUUUCAGGACCCGUCUUGAAACACGGACCAAGGAGUCUAGCAUGUGCGCGAGUCAUUGGGACAUAACUAAACCUAAAGGCGUAAUGAAAGUAAAGGUCCGCCUUCGCGCGGACCGAGGGAGGAUGGGCGCGAUACGGUGAAUGCCGCCGCUCCGCACUCCCGGGGCGUCUCGUUCUCAUCGCGAGAAGAGGCGCACCAAGAGCGUACACGCUGGGACCCGAAAGAUGGUGAACUAUGCCUGGUCAGGACGAAGUCAGGGGAAACCCUGAUGGAGGUCCGUAGCGAUUCUGACGUGCAAAUCGAUCGUCGGAACUGGGUAUAGGGGCGAAAGACUAAUCGAACCAUCUAGUAGCUGGUUCCCUCCGAAGUUUCCCUCAGGAUAGCUGGCGCUCAUAGCGCACGAGUCUCAUCCGGUAAAGCGAAUGAUUAGAGGCAUUGGGGUCGAAACGACCUCAACCUAUUCUCAAACUUUAAAUGGGUGAGAUCUCCGGCUUGCUCGAACUUAUGAAGCCGCGAGAUUCGGAUCAGAGUGCCAAGUGGGCCAUUUUUGGUAAGCAGAACUGGCGCUGUGGGAUGAACCAAACGCCGAGUUAAAGCGCCUAAAUCGACGCUUAUGGGAUACCAUGAAAGGCGUUGGUAACUUAAGACAGCAGGACGGUGGCCAUGGAAGUCGGAAUCCGCCAAGGAGUGUGUAACAACUCACCUGCCGAAGUUACUAGCCCUGAAAAUGGAUGGCGCUGAAGCGUCGUGCUUAUACUCGGCCGUCAGAGGCAUGUGCGGUUCGUACGGCUCGUUCGUACGAAUCAUGAAGCCCUGACGAGUAGGAGGGUCGCGGCGGUGAGCGCAGAAGGGCUGGCCGCGAGGCCGUCUGGAGCCGCCGUCGGUGCAGAUCUUGGUGGUAGUAGCAAAUACUCCAGCGAGGCCCUGGAGGACUGACGUGGAGAAGGGUUUCGUGUGAACAGCCGUUGCACACGAGUCAGUCGAUCCUAAGCCCUAGGCGAAAGCCGAUGUUGAUGUGGCGUACCUUUAUACGACAGUUUGAAAACACAACGUGUUGUUAAACGUGCACGCCCGUCGGGCGAAAGGGAAUCCGGUUCCUAUUCCGGAACCCGGCAGCGGAACCGUC